rnacentral:rRNA from 1 species
GAUGAACGCUAGCUACAGGCUUAACACAUGCAAGUCGAGGGGCAGCAUGAACAAAGCUUGCUUUGUUUGAUGGCGACCGGCGCACGGGUGCGUAACGCGUAUCCAACCUUCCCGUUACUCAGGGAUAGCCUUCCGAAAGGGAGAUUAAUACCUGAUGGUGUUCAAAUUCCGCAUGUUAUUUGAACUAAAGAUUUAUCGGUAGCGGAUGGGGAUGCGUGACAUUAGAUAGUAGGCGGGUAACGGCCCACCUAGUCUACGAUGUCUAGGGGUUCUGAGAGGAAGGUCCCCCACACUGGAACUGAGACACGGUCCAGACUCCUACGGGAGGCAGCAGUGAGGAAUAUUGGUCAAUGGUCGGAAGACUGAACCAGCCAAGUAGCGUGAAGGAUGAAGGUUCUAUGGAUUGUAAACUUCUUUUAUACGGGAAUAAAACCUCCCACGUGUGGGAGCUUGUAUGUACCGUAUGAAUAAGCAUCGGCUAACUCCGUG